GCCGAGCUAGCUCAACGGUAGAGCAGCUGAUUUGUAAUCAGCAGGCUGCGGGUUCAAAUCCUGUGCUCGGCUCCA
rnacentral:tRNA from 1 species